ACUCCAGUCAUCUUUCUAGUUCACAUGACAGAGAGAGGUCAAAACACCAACGAGGACCCCCGGGACUGGCAGGAAGAACGGAUGACGCUGGGGAAGGGCCAUGAUUCCUGAGGAAGAAGGGAGAAGAGAAUGGUCUAAGAUGGAACCAGGUGUGCCAGAAAAGACUUGAAGACACCUCUGGAGACAUCUGGGAGAAUGCAUGGUAAAACGGCAGUGUUAGCAAACAGUAGCUAUCACUACUACUGUGGAAUGAAAGUGACGAGAAACCAUUAAAACCCUCAUUUAAUCCACCGAGAAA
ensembl:antisense Med9os mediator complex subunit 9, opposite strand